rnacentral:rRNA from 1 species
UGGGGAAUAUUGGACAAUGGGCGCAAGCCUGAUCCAGCCAUGCCGCGUGAGUGAUGAAGGCCUUAGGGUUGUAAAGCUCUUUCGUCAGGGAAGAUAAUGACGGUACCUGAAGAAGAAGCCCCGGCUAACUUCGUGCCAGCAGCCGCGGUAAUACGAAGGGGGCUAGCGUUGCUCGGAAUCACUGGGCGUAAAGCGCACGUAGGCGGCUUUCUAAGUCAGGGGUGAAAUCCCGGGGCUCAACUCCGGAACUGCCUUUGAUACUGGAAAGCUUGAGUUCGGGAGAGGUGAGUGGAACUGCGAGUGUAGAGGUGAAAUUCGUAGAUAUUCGCAAGAACACCAGUGGCGAAGGCGGCUCACUGGCCCGAUACUGACGCUGAGGUGCGAAAGCGUGGGGAGCAAACA